ACUAACUCAAUAAAUUAUUUUUAUUGCAAUCAAUGUAUUAUUGUAAUAAAGCAUUGCAUAAAAUGUGUUGAGUAUUUAACUUAGGUAAAGUUGAGUUGAUUAUGAGCCGUAUUUAUUAUGAUUUUUUUUGUCCUUUUUUAGUAACAGAUUUUUGUAUAUGUCAAGGAUUAACCUUUUUUGGAUAUUUCCAGAAUUCUGGAAAUUUUUGUAACUUUUUUUUUGCUGGAUAUCUAAAACAUUUUCUAUACUUAAAAGUUUAAAUACAUCUAUUUGUUUUAUAAGCUUUUUCACUCAUCACUCAUAAAAAAAUAAAGAAAAGUUUGAAAAAAAAAAAAAAAAAAAAAAACUCAGCUAUAAGCAAAAAUAAGAGGAAAAUAAGAGAAAAUAUUUUCCGGGUAUUUUACCCAAACAAAUUUCCGGAUUUUUAAAAUAUUGCAUGGACGAUCUAUGAUAUGUAUAUUGUAUAGAGCUAUGAUUGUAUGUAUAUUGAAAAAGUUAUUUUUUUUAGCAUAUUCUUACUGCAGAAUCAGAAGUAGAAAUUGAUUUAAAUACAUAAAAAAAAAACACAAGAAAACUCCUUUAAGUCAGCAAAACAGAAAGAGAAAAAAAAAAUGUAUUUUUGAAGAACCUCCUUUACCAUCAUUACCAUCGUGGGAGCCACCAAAGCUUACUGAUUCCGAUUCAAACUUUUUGUCCGUCUCUGCCUCAAUGGAUUAAGUAGAUGACUUGCCAGUUACACAGAUAGUGUUUCCAUCAGAAAUGCAGUCUGUUUCACAAGUUCAACCGUUACUGUAUUCAUCUUCUUCCUUUUCUUUACCAUCUCAAAAAACUGGGAUAGACCAAAUAAAUAACUUUAUUCGGAAAACAAAUGUUGAACCCAAUACUGUUGAAGGCAUUCAAUUUAUAGUGAACUCCAUGUACAGAAAACUUUGUGGGUUUGAAACAGAAAUGCGUUCCAUGCGUUCAAUUUUAGACACUAAUCAUGGUAAUAAAGAAAAUAUUAAUAUAGAUUAAUUACCAGCUAAUUCAGUUGAAGAGUUUGACUCACUAGAAAAUAAAUUAAUUAACUCUAAUGAUAAAGAUAUCAUUUGCAGAAAGUUAAAGCAAAUUGGUGGGAGAAAUGUAAGUGACUUUUUAAAAAAUGCUUUAAAAACUUGUUUAACAGACAAGCUGUGCUGCAGCAUUAAUCGAACUGGUGCAGAUAAAAAGCGUAAGUUUAUAGGACCAGUCGAAAGUUUGAUUUUUGAAGCAGCUUACUGUUUAUUUCCAACUGCCACUGAAUCCAGUAUGACUACAAUAAUUGCGAAACAUUUGAAAAAGUCUAAAGAUCGUUAUUUUGCUGCAAGAAAGAGAAGUUCUUCUUUAACAAGUGAUAUACAAAUACACAGUCCUGUUA